rnacentral:rRNA from 1 species
GACUACAUGAAGCUGGAAUCGCUAGUAAUCGCGGAUCAGAAUGCCGCGGUGAAUACGUUCCCGGGUCUUGUACACACCGCCCGUCACACCAUGGGAGUCGGAAAUGCCCGAAGUCUGUGACCCAACCUGAGAGGGAGGGAGCAGCCGAAGGCAGGUCUGAUGACUGGGGUGAAGUCGUAACAAGGUACC